rnacentral:rRNA from 1 species
GACGAACGCUGGCGGCGUGCUUAACACAUGCAAGUCGAACGGAAAGGCCUGCUUUCCCUUGUGGAUUGCGGGUACUCGAGUGGCGAACGGGAGAGUAACACGUGAGUGAUCUGCCCCCAACUUGGGUAUAAGCCUGGGAAACUGGGUCUAAUUCCCGAUAGGACUGCAGGGUGGUGCCUGUGGUGGAAAACGAUUUUCUAGUGGUUGGGGAUGAGCUCGCGGCCUAUCAGCUUGUUGGUGGGGUAAUGGCCUACCAAGGCGGCGACGGGUAGCCGGCCUGAGAGGGUGGACGGCCACAUUGGGACUGAGAUACGGCCCAGACUCCUACGGGAGGCAGCAGUGGGGAAUAUUGCACAAUGGGCGGAAGCCUGAUGCAGCGACGCCGCGUGGGGGAUGACGGCCUUCGGGUUGUAAACUCCUUUCGACCGCGAGGAAGCCACCUGGUUGGAAGGGUGGUGACGGUAGUGGUAGAAGAAGCACCGGCUAACUACGUG